rnacentral:rRNA from 1 species
UACGUAGGAGGCAAGCGUUGUCCGGAAUCAUUGGGCGUAAAGCGCGCGUAGGCGGUCCGAUCAGUCCGCUGUAAAAGUCCAGGGCUCAACCCUGGAAAGCCGGUGGAUACUGUCGGGCUAGAGUCCGGAAGAGGCGAGUGGAAUUCCUGGUGUAGCGGUGGAAUGCGCAGAUAUCAGGAGGAACACCGAUAGCGAAGGCAGCUCGCUGGGACGGUACUGACGCUGAGGUGCGAAAGCGUGGGGAGCGAACAGG